UACGAAGGGGGCUAGCGUUGCUCGGAAUCACUGGGCGUAAAGGGUGCGUAGGCGGGUCUUUUAAGUCAGGGGUGAAAUCCUGGAGCUCAACUCCAGAACUGCCUUUGAUACUGAGGAUCUUGAGUUCGGGAGAGGUGAGUGGAACUGCGAGUGUAGAGGUGAAAUUCGUAGAUAUUCGCAAGAACACCAGUGGCGAAGGCGGCUCACUGGCCCGAUGCUGACGCUGAGGCACGAAAGCGUGGGGAGCGAACAGG
rnacentral:rRNA from 1 species